AGAGAAUUUUGCUCCUGCCCAUGUGACUAAUAAAAUAGAAGGGGGAAUGAGAGAAUAAUUGGCUAUAAUACAAGUCUCCUUCUUGGUACUGUCAGCAUAGACGCUUUCGUUGUGAUAUUCACAUUAUGACUCCCCAGAACACAGAGACUCAUGUUAGAAUGCUCAAAUCCCCUGACUUAAUUUGGGAGGUUUUAAAAGCUUAAAGUAUCACGCAGAAUCUAUUAAAACCAACUACACUGAUUAGAAAUAAGCAUGGCCUUCCACCACUAAGCUCAUUAAAGCUUGCACAAUUGAGAACCACAAAGAAAAACAAAGAGAUCUCAUCUAAGUAGUAAAAGACACUGUGCAUGACUUAAGCAUCUUGUCCCUAACUCUUCUUGAUUCGUUGUCACCUAAGUGUCAUUAGGAAAAUUUCAGAUUUAUUAACUAACAAAUGUAGAAAUCAAUGGAACUAGACCUAUCUUGGGUUAUGGACAACCACUGUAUUUACAGUUCUGUAUAUCUGAAGUCCACCCUGACCCUUAGACAUGGUUCUCCACACAGAUGUGAGAACAGUAGCACCAUUAUAUCCUGUCUCGUAGUAUUAAUGGGCUCACAAGAAUAAAAUGCAGAUAAGAAAGAAUUCUUCUAUUAAAAGAACAAAAUAAGAUUGAAGGUAAUUCCUACUAUAUUUUGGAAGUGUCAGGUUUUUUUUCUUAGUAUUUACAAUAUAUUCCUCUUGUCUCAUGACAAGGCUUAUAGUCUUAAUGAUCAAUGUUAUUAUUUUGAGUUAUUAAAAUAUUCUGUCCUAUUCUGUCUCUGAAGAGAAAGUAAAUCUGAGUAAACAAUUUGUAGGUAAAUUGACUGGUGAACCGCAUCUCAGUUUAUUCUUGUCUGUUCUGUGCCUUCCAGAAAGGCCAACUUCACAUCAAUGGGUGGAUCGUACCUCGGCCUAAGCUCCAGGAUUGAUUGUGCUGUUAGAGUCACAGCUACAACCGGCUCAGGGAACCCAGUGGAAGAGGAGGUGGAGUGUGAGAGCCAAUUGGAAUGGAAGACAGUGAGGAAACAAGGCCUUCGAGACACAAGAGGACUGCUGAGCUCACAAAGACUGAGGCAGCACCCUCAGGACCUGCACAGGUCUAAGCUUGAUGCGAUCUGAGUACUGAGAGGGCAACUGGACACAAUUCUAUAUUGAUAACCCAGAAGCUUUCUCCAGUUGAUAAACUCUUUCAAAGGAAAAACUUGUUUUCUACCAUGGAGUGACACUGGAUAUAGAAACUACCGUUAACAGCAGACUCCAUGGCUCAGACUUCCAAUACAAUAUGAACUCAGUUGCAAUUUUUUGCAAGGUUUUUCGACUCAUAGUUCUUUGUCUGGGUACUUUUUCACCCUACAGAGAAUUUCUGUAUAUAUUAUCGUUUCUGAUUCUAGUGUUUUGAAUUUUCGCUGGGUCUAAAUAUCUCUGUCUCAGUGUCAGUAUGUGUUUCUCAUGAUUUUUCUUUGCUUCUCUUUUUCCUAU
rnacentral:lncRNA from 1 species